rnacentral:rRNA from 1 species
UGGGGAAUUUUGGACAAUGGGCGAAAGCCUGAUCCAGCAAUGCCGCGUGUGUGAAGAAGGCCUUCGGGUUGUAAAGCACUUUUGUCCGGAAAGAAAUCCUUGGCUCUAAUACAGUCGGGGGAUGACGGUACCGGAAGAAUAAGCACCGGCUAACUACGUGCCAGCAGCCGCGGUAAUACGUAGGGUGCAAGCGUUAAUCGGAAUUACUGGGCGUAAAGCGUGCGCAGGCGGUUUGCUAAGACCGAUGUGAAAUCCCCGGGCUCAACCUGGGAACUGCAUUGGUGACUGGCAGGCUAGAGUAUGGCAGAGGGGGGUAGAAUUCCACGUGUAGCAGUGAAAUGCGUAGAGAUGUGGAGGAAUACCGAUGGCGAAGGCAGCCCCCCUGGGGCCAAUACUGACGCUCAUGCACGAAAGCGUGGGGGAGCAAACAGGAUUAGAUACCCUGGUAGUCCACGCCCUAAACGAUGUCAACUAGUUGUUGGGGAUUCAUUUCCUUAGUAACGUAGCUAACGCGUGAAGUUGACCGCCUGGGGAGUACGGUCGCAAGAUUAAAACUCAAGGAAUUGACGGGGUCAUAGCUGUUUCCU